GAAGAUUCCUUUCUCCUUAAAUUGCUUUCUUCACUUGACUUUUUGACACCACAUUUCUUCUGAUUUUCUUUUUUCUUUGUCAUCUUCACUAUAUUAAUCUUUUUAAUGGUUUUAUCCUCAUCUUCUUGAUCUCUUAAUGUUGGACUUUGUCAGUUGCUUUGACCUUUUUUCUAUCUAUGCUGUCUUGGGAUUCUUAUUUGGCUUUGUGCUUUAAAUACCAUCUGAUGACUGACAGCAUUUUCUUUCUAGUGUGGACCUCACCCCUGGAUUAUAGACAACUUUACUGUGAUACCUGAAAAAUGUCUAAACUUAACAGGUGCAAGCUAGAGCUCUUGAUUUUCUUCUGUCACACAGAUCAGGUCCUGGUACAAUUGUUCCCACCUCAGUUAGUGGUAAUUUCACUUUUAAUUGCUCAGGACAAAAUAUCCCGCAUUCCCCCAAGGGUUUUGUUAGUUUUUGUAUAUUGUCUCUGUUUCUUGUUUCAAAACUUACAACAGAAAAUUCUGUUGUCCCUAUCAUUAAAAUAUAUCUGAAUUUUCCCAUUUUUCAGUACCUUUUCUAUAAUCGUCCUGGUUCUAUCUGCAAACACCCUGCUGUAGAUUUUUACAAUAGUUUCCUGACUGAUCUUUCUGUUUUCAUCUUAUCCCUCUGAAGUCUGUUCUCAGCAAAGCAUUCUGAGUAGAUCUGCCAAAGCAUGCAUCAGCAGAAGUCAUUUCUCUGCUUAAAAACUCUCCAGUGAAUUCAGAUUUUACUUGGAAUAAAAGCCAAUGUCUUUAAAAUGGCCUAAAAACCCUACAUGAUUUGUCUUCCCACCUUUUAUUAUAUUUCUCACUUCCUCUCCUACUACUUCCUAUCCUUCCCACUUUUCAUCAGCCAUACAGAUCUUCACAAAUGUUAGGUAGACUCCCACCUCUGCAAUCUCGCAUUUGUUUAUACCCUCCUUCCUAUGAUGCUAUACCCCAAUCUAUCUACAGAGUGAAUUUCCUCACCUCCUUCAAGUCUUUGCUUAACUGCCAUCUUCUUGAGAGUUCUUCUCUGAGCCCUCUAUUUAACUUAUAUCCCAAUCCCCAACUAGGCCUCCUGGUUCUCCUCUGCAGCUUUAUUUCCUCAGUAACACCUUGAAUCUUACUCUAUAGAUUUAUCAACUUUUACAUGGUCUUUCCCACAGAAACUUCAUGAAGGCAGAGAUUUUUGACUAUUUUAUUUACUGAUAUAACCUCUAUACCUAUAAAAGUGCCUGAGAUUUGCAUUUCUUCAAGCAAAAAGAGUGUUGCAAGAGAGACUUGGUGGCUUGGUAGGAAAAGCUGCAUGUAAGCUAAUGGCUCAAAUGCAGUAUUCCUGACCUCAACUGAGGAUGCUGCAUUCUUUGCCCUGUUUCUUCUCUCAAGUGAUGCCAGCCCUUAGAAGAAAGAACCCAACAUGACAUAAGAGUCUUCUAAGCUGAGAGUAGCAAAUGGCUGUGGAAAUAACCCCACUUGAUUCCUCAUGAUCCUUUGUGCUGUCUACUGCAGGCUGUCACCUCAAUUUCUAUUUCUUCCAUAACUGAGGUAAAGAAGAGUUAAGAAUUUUUGUGUGUAGCUAUUGACAGUCACUUCACAGAUUAAAGGAUGUCCUUAAUAUAAAGUAAAGCUAAAUAUCAGAGACGACAAAAGGUCCAUUUAUUGAAGUUGAAGGUAUGCUCUAGUAACAAGUGGUAGAAAGUACAGCAAGCUGAAACUCAAUAGAUGACUUCUGAUAGUGAUACCACCAUUGGAGUUGGGUAAUCUUCAAUAAACUGGAGUGCUUUUUUUGUCCUCCAGAAUCCUUGCCGUAUAUGGAGAUGGACAAGAGAUAAUUUCUGAGGUAGUUGUA
rnacentral:lncRNA from 1 species